GUGGUUAUAACUCAGAUGGUAGAGUACUGGAUUGUGAUUCUAGUUGUCAUGGGUUCGAUUCCCAUUAACCACC
rnacentral:tRNA from 1 species